UUUUACGGAGAGUUUGAUCCUGGCUCAGGAUGAACGCUGGCGGCGUGCUUAACACAUGCAAGUCGAACGGUGAAGGAGAGCUUGCUCUCUGGAUCAGUGGCGAACGGGUGAGUAACACGUGAGCAAUCUGCCCCUGACUCUGGGAUAAGCGCUGGAAACGGCGUCUAAUACCGGAUACGAGCUGCGAAGGCAUCUUCAGCAGCUGGAAAGAACUUCGGUCAGGGAUGAGCUCGCGGCCUAUCAGCUAGUUGGUGAGGUAACGGCUCACCAAGGCGUCGACGGGUAGCCGGCCUGAGAGGGUGACCGGCCACACUGGGACUGAGACACGGCCCAGACUCCUACG
rnacentral:rRNA from 1 species